AGUGAACGCUGGCGGUAGGCCUAACACAUGCCAGUCGAACGGCAGCACAGUAAGAGCUUGCUCUUACGGGUGGCGAGUGGCGGACGGGUGAGGAAUACAUCGGAAUCUACUUUUUCGUGGGGGAUAACGUAGGGAAACUUACGCUAAUACCGCAUACGACCUACGGGUGAAAGCAGUGGAUCUUCGGACCUUUCGCGAUUGAAUGAGCCGAUGUCGGAUUAGCUAGUUGGCUGGGUAAAGGCCCACCAAGGCGACGAUCCGUAGCUGGUCUGAGAGGAUGAUCAGCCACACUGGAACUGAGACACGGUCCAGACUCCUACGGGAGGCAGCAGUGGGGAAUAUUGGACAAUGGGCGCAAGCCUGAUCCAGCCAUACCGCGUGGGUGAAGAAGGCCUUCGGGUUGUAAAGCCCUUUUGUUGGGAAAGAAAAGCAGCAGGUUAAUACCCCGCUGUUCUGACGGUACCCAAAGAAUAAGCACCGGCUAACUUCGUG
rnacentral:rRNA from 1 species